UUAUGUAUAAAUAGAUGUACAAUGAGGGCUUAGUACAAGCCCGUCUUCUAGGUGGCGCCUUGCCCGUUCUGAAUUUUUGUAUUCCCCUACGAUUUUCUUUGAGGGGAAUCCGUUAAACCCGCCCAUCGUUCAAAAAUGGAAGGGCGCGAGGUCACAUCUAUUGGGCCACUUAUUAGCACGUUUCACCCAUGUUUUACGAAAAUAGCUUUAUCCUUGUUUGUUUCAACUGUGACAAGAAAAAAGGAAAAAAAGUUAUAUUCGCUUCUAAAUUCGGCAGUUUUGUUGAUCUUUCUCGACUUGUAAUUUCGUUUCGUUUAGGUUAUGUCUUAUAAAAAUAAAUAUUUAUAAGCUUUUGAAUUGAAAUAUACCUUAAUGCAUAUCUGAGUAAUUAAAAAAUUCAGUUUUUUCGUCCCUCGCGAAGAAACAUAAACAGUAUUUGUGAAAUUUGGAUUAGAAACUAUUAUUUUAUUAGUUUAUUUUGUUGUGUUUAAGUGUUGUGUAUUUGUACCUACUGGAUAAUAUUUUCCAACAUAUUUAAUUAAGCAAAAAGCAUCUGUUUUACAGGUGUGACUGCUAAGUGGUCGUACUCGCCACUUUAACCAAGCAUUGGUGGGACCUUCAGAGAUCAUAAUGCGAAUUUCUUCAUACCAUGUAAAUCUAUAUACAUGUAUUAAUAAAUGCGUUUGCUUUA